GGUUCCAUAGUGUAGCAGUUAGCACGCCUGCUUUACAUGCAGGAAGGUCCUGGGUUUGCACCCCAGUGGAGCCA
rnacentral:tRNA from 1 species